AUAGCCCGAUCACGAACUCGGGC
rnacentral:snRNA from 1 species